UGCAUUCACUACUGUAAGUCGCUCUGGAUAAGAGCGUCUGCUAAAUUUGAGCAG
rfam:Salmo salar isolate Sally breed double haploid chromosome ssa21, whole genome shotgun sequence.